rnacentral:rRNA from 1 species
GCCAGACUCCUACGGGAGGCAGCAGUGGGGGAUAUUGCACAAUGGGGGGAACCCUGAUGCAGCGACGCCGCGUGGGUGAAGAAGCGCCUCGGCGCGUAAAGCCCUGUCAGCAGGGAAGAAAAUGACGGUACCUGAAGAAGAAGCCCCGGCUAACUACGUGCCAGCAGCCGCGGUAAUACGUAGGGGGCAAGCGUUAUCCGGAUUUACUGGGUGUAAAGGGAGCGUAGACGGCAUAGCAAGUCUGAAGUGGAAGCCCGUGGCUCAACCGCGGAACUGCUUUGGAAACUGUUAAGCUGGAGUACUGGAGAGGCAAGCGGAAUUCCUAGUGUAGCGGUGAAAUGCGUAGAUAUUAGGAGGAACACCAGUGGCGAAGGCGGCCUGCUGGACGGUGACUGACGCUGAGGCUCGAAAGCGUGGGGAGCAAACAGGAUUAGAUACCCUAGUAA